rnacentral:rRNA from 1 species
AUACGUAGGGGGCAAGCGUUGUCCGGAAUGAUUGGGCGCAAAGGGCGCGUAGGCGGCCCGGUAAGUCUGAAGUGAAAGUCCUGGCUUCAAGUUGGGAAUUGCUUUGGAUACUGUCGGGCUUGAGUGCAGGAGAGGUCAGUGGAAUUCCCAGUGUAGCGGUGAAAUGCGUAGAGAUUGGGAGGAACACCAGUGGCGAAGGCGACUGACUGGACUGUAACUGACGCUGAGGCGCGAAAGUGUGGGGAGC